rnacentral:rRNA from 1 species
ACGGCUCAGUAACACGUGGAUAACCUGCCCUUGGGUCCGGCAUAACCCCGGGAAACUGGGGAUAAUUCCGGAUAACGCACAUAUGCUGGAAUGCUUUAUGCGUAAAAUGGAUUCGUCUGCCCAAGGAUGGGUCUGCGGCCUAUCAGGUAGUAGUGGGUUAAUGUACCUACUAGCCAACAACGGGUACGGGUUGUGAGAGCAAGAGCCCGGAGAUGGAUUCUGAGACAUGAAUCCAGGCCCUACGGGGCGCAGCAGGCGCGAAAACUUUACAAUGCGGGAAGCCGUGAUAAGGGGACACCGAGUGCCAGCAUCAUAUGCUGGCUGUCCAGGUGUAUAAAAUACACCUGUCAGCAAGGGCCGGGCAAGACCGGUGCCAGCCGCCGCGGUAACACCGGCGGCCCGAGUGGUGAUCGUGAUUAUUGGGUCUAAAGGGUCCGUAGCCGGUUUGGUCAGUCCUCCGGGAAAUCUGACAGCUUAACUGUUAGGCUUUCGGAGGAUACUGCCAGACUUGGAACCGGGAGAGGUAAGAGGUACUACAGGGGUAGGAGUGAAAUCUUGUAAUCCCUGUGAGACCACCUGUGGCGAAGGCGUCUUACCAGAACGGGUUCGACGGUGAGGGACGAAAGCUGGGGGCACGAACCGGAUUAGAUACCCGGGUAGUCCCAGCCGUAAACGAUGCUCGCUAGGUGUCAGGCAUGGCGCGACCGUGUCUGGUGCCGCAGGGAAGCCGUGAAGCGAGCCACCUGGGAAGUACGGCCGCAAGGCUGAAACUUAAAGGAAUUGGCGGGGGAGCAC